rnacentral:rRNA from 1 species
UACGUAGGGUGCGAGCGUUAAUCGGAAUUACUGGGCGUAAAGGGUGCGCAGGCGGUUCUGCAAGUCAGGCGUGAAAGCCCCGGGCUUAACCUGGGAAUGGCGCUUGAAACUACAGGACUGGAGUAUGGCAGAGGGAGGUGGAAUUCCACGUGUAGCGGUGAAAUGCGUAGAGAUGUGGAGGAACACCGAUGGCGAAGGCAGCCUCCGUGGGCCAAUAAUCGACGCUCAUGCACGAAAGCGUGGGGAGCAAACAGG